UAGAAUUUAGUUAAUAAUAUAACAUUAAUUUGUCAUUUUAAAGUAACUCAAAGUAAUUCUAA
rnacentral:tRNA from 1 species